CGCUAAAUAGCUAGCCCACCCAACCAAAAACAUAACUCAUUAUAAGGUGAUAAGGUAAGAGAAGCUUGUUUACGACAUAAUAGCCCAUGAUGAUGUGUUAGGUUAGUCCACUUGACUCUUGACCUAGAUAAAGUACCGCAAGGGAACGCUGAAAGAGAAAUGAAACAACCCAGUAUAAGCCCUAGAAAGCAGAGACUAAAACUCGUACCUUUUGCAUCAUGAAUUAGUUAGUAAAACCCAAGCAAAGUGCACUUUAGUUUGAUUUCCCGAAACUAGGUGAGCUACUCCAAGACAGCCUAUUAAUAGGGCACACCCGUCUCUGUGGCAAAAGAGUGGGAAGAUCUUUGAGUAGAGGUGACAAACCUACCGAACCUAGUUAUAGCUGGUUGCCUGAGAAAUGGAUAGGAGUUCAGCCUCCCGGCUUCUUUCUUGACCACCCCUUCGUCUUAACGGACUACCCUUAGACAUUCAAAGAAACCGUGAGAGUUAUUCAAAGGAGGUACAGCUCCUUUGAAACAAGAUACAACUUUUCCAGGUGGGUAAGGAUCACAAUAAACAAAAGGUAAAAUGUUCUGGUGGGCCUAAAAGCAGCCAUCCCUAUAGAAAGCGUUAAAGCUCAGACAUAUAACUACCCCCUCCGAUCCCGAUAAUUCAAUCCCAGCCCCCUAAUCUUACCAGGCCGCCCCAUGCAAACAUGGGGGUGACCAUGCUAAUAUGAGUAAUAAGAGAGCCUCCGACUCUCUCCCUGCACACGUGUAAAUCGAAAUGGACUCCCCACCGAACUUUAACGGCCCCAACCAAAGAGGGUACUGAACAACAGACCAAACAACUAGAAAAGUUUUCAACAAACAACCGUUAACCCCACACUGGUGUGCCCCUUGGGAAAGACUAAAAGAAAAAGAAGGAACUCGGCAAACACACGAGGCCUCGCCUGUUUACCAAAAACAUCGCCUCUUGCAAAAUUAAUAAAUAAGAGGUCCCGCCUGCCCUGUGACUAUAUGUUUAACGGCCGCGGUAUUUUAACCGUGCGAAGGUAGCGCAAUCACUUGUCUCUUAAAUGGGGACCUGUAUGAAUGGCAUAACGAGGGCUUAACUGUCUCCUUUUUCAAGUCAAUGAAAUUGAUCUCCCCGUGCAGAAGCGGGGAUAACAACAUAAGACGAGAAGACCCUAUGGAGCUUUAGACACCAAGGCAGAUCAUGUUAAACACCCCUAAAUAAAGGGCUAAACCAAAAGAAACCUGCCCUAAUGUCUUCGGUUGGGGCGACCGCGGGGAAACAAAAAUCCCCCACGUGGAACGGGAGAUUCCGUAUUUUUCAUCUCCUAAAACUAAGAGCCCCCGCUCUAGUAAACAGAAUUUCUGACCAAUAAUGAUCCGGCAAUGCCGAUCAACGGACCAAGUUACCCUAGGGAUAACAGCGCAAUCCUCUUUUAGAGCCCAUAUCGACAAGGGGGUUUACGACCUCGAUGUUGGAUCAGGACAUCCUAAUGGUGCAGCCGCUAUUAAGGGUUCGUUUGUUCAACGAUUAAAGUCCUACGUGAUCUGAGUUCAGACCGGAGUAAUCCAGGUCAGUUUCUAUCUAUGAUAUGAUCUUUUCUAGUACGAAAGGACCGAAAAAAAAGGCCUCUACUUAAGGUACGCCUUACCCCCAACUAGUGCAGACAACUAAAAUAGGCAAAAGGGCAUACCCUUGUGCCGAAGAAUACGGCAU
rnacentral:rRNA from 1 species